CCAAACGUCUUUCUAUCACGUAGAAACGAAGCAGAGGAAUAAUGUUUUUUUUUUAAUGUGAUAGUAUUAGGCUAGGCGAGUGACAUAGGCUACCUUUUAUCAUGUAAAAACAUCUCGUUCCCGCGGGUAACUACAACGACAUUAAUGUUUGAACACGCGAGCGAAGACAUGGGUGGAUGGUGGCAUUCUCGUGUAUGAUGUUUAGACUUCAAAAAAAACUAGUCAACUCAGCCUAUUUACUCCUUAUCUAGUUUAAAGAUAGUUUUGUUUAGUAAUACCUUUAAAUUUUUUAUGUAAGGAUUUUAACAGCUCAUAUACACUGUAUUCAAGUUUUACUAUAUAAUAAUUUGGUCCAAAACAAUUUAAUGUUACAAGUCUCUUUAAGUGGGUGUGCAUUGUCAAACUAUCCACAGUUUUAUUGAAGGAGUAAUAAAUAAUUAGUUAUACCAUAAUAUUAUGUAUCAACAA